rnacentral:rRNA from 1 species
AGAGUUUGAUCAUGGCUCAGAUUGAACGCUGGCGGCAGGCCUAACACAUGCAAGUCGAGCGCGAAAGGUUUUCGGACUGAGUAGAGCGGCGGACGGGUGAGUAACGCGUAGGAAUCUACCUGGUAGUGGGGGACAAUUCGGGGAAACUCGAGCUAAUACCGCAUACGCCCUAAGGGGGAAAGCGGGGGAUCUUCGGACCUCGUGCUAUUGGAUGAGCCUGCGUAGGAUUAGCUUGUUGGUGAGGUAAUGGCUCACCAAGGCGACGAUCCUUAGCUGGUCUGAGAGGAUGAUCAGCCACACCGGGACUGAGACACGGCCCGGACUCCUACGGGAGGCAGCAGUGGGGAAUAUUGCGCAAUGGGCGAAAGCCUGACGCAGCCAUGCCGCGUGUGUGAAGAAGGCCUUCGGGUUGUAAAGCACUUUCACUAGGGAAGAAAGGUUGCUAGCUAAUACCCAGUAGCUGUGACAUUACCUUGAGAAGAAGCACCGGCUAACUCCGUGCCAGCAGCCGCGGUAAUACGGAGGGUGCGAGCGUUAAUCGGAAUUACUGGGCGUAAAGCGCGCGUAGGCGGUUAGUUAAGUCGGAUGUGAAAUCCCCGGGCUCAACCUGGGAAUUGCGUCCGAUACUGGCUGACUAGAGUACGGGAGAGGGAGGUAGAAUUCCACGUGUAGCGGUGAAAUGCGUAGAUAUGUGGAGGAAUACCGGUGGCGAAGGCGGCCUCCUGGCUCGAUACUGACGCUGAGGUGCGAAAGCGUGGGGAGCAAACAGGAUUGGAUACCCUGGUAGUCCACGCUGUAAACGAUGUCGACUAGCCGUUGGGAGACUUGAUUUCUUGGUGGCGCAGUUAACGCGAUAAGUCGACCGCCUGGGGAGUACGGCCGCAAGGUUAAAACUCAAAUGAAUUGACGGGGGCCCGCACAAGCGGUGGAGCAUGUGGUUUAAUUCGGUGCAACGCGAAGAACCUUACCAGGUCUUGACAUCCUCGGAACUUUCCAGAGAUGGAUUGGUGCCUUCGGGAGCCGAGAGACAGGUGCUGCAUGGCUGUCGUCAGCUCGGGUCGUGAGAUGUUGGGUUAAGUCCCGUAACGAGCGCAACCCUUGUCCUUAGUUGCCAGCACUUCGGGUGGGAACUCUAGGGAGACUGCCGGUGACAAACCGGAGGAAGGUGGGGACGACGUCAAGUCAUCAUGGCCCUUACGACCUGGGCUACACACGUGCUACAAUGGAACGUACAGAGGGCAGCGAAGCCGCGAGGUGGAGCGAAUCCCACAAAACGUUUCGUAGUCCGGAUCGCAGUCUGCAACUCGACUGCGUGAAGUCGGAAUAGCUAGUAAUCGCGAAUCAGAAUGUCGCGGUGAAUACGUUCCCGGGCCUUGUACACACCGC